GGAUUAGGCAUGCAAGUCGCACGAGAAAGGCUUCUUCGGAAGCCGAGUAAAGUGGCGAACGGGUGAGUAAUGCAUAGACAACUCGCCCUUGAGAUGGGGACAACGCCUCGAAGGGGGUGCUAAUACCCAAUGCCGCCUUGGGCCUGCGGGUCCAGGGUGAAAGGAGGCCUCUGAUUCAAGCUUCCGCUCAAGGAGAGGUUUAUGUCCUAUUAGCUAGUUGGCGGGGUAACGGCCCACCAAGGCUGCGAUGGGUAGCCGACCUGAGAGGGUGACCGGCCACAUUGGGACUGAAACACUGCCCAGACUCCUACGGGAGGCUGCAGUCGAGAAUCUUCCGCAAUGCGCGCAAGCGUGACGGAGCGACGCCGCGUGGGUGAUGAAGGCCUUCGGGUUGUAAAACCCUGUCAGCUACUACGAAACACGGGCGAUGAACAAUCGUCCCGUCUGACUUAAGUAGCAGAGGAAGCACCGGCUAACUACGUGCCAGCAGCCGCGGUAAUACGUAGGGUGCGAACGUUGUUCGGAAUCACUGGGCAUAAAGGGCGUGUAGGCGGUCGUACAAGUCAGAUGUGAAAGCCCCCGGCCUAACCGGGGAACUGCAUUUGAUACUGUGCGGCUAGAGUGCAGGAGGGGAGAGUGGAAUUCCUGGUGGAGCGGUGAAAUGCGUAGAUAUCAGGAGGAACGCCGGCGGCGAAAGCGACUCUCUGGCCUGCAACUGACGCUGAGGCGCGAAAGCUAGGGGAGCAAACGGGAUUAGAUACCCCGGUAGUCCUAGCCCUAAACGAUGGGCACUAAGUAGAGGGGUUUU
rnacentral:rRNA from 1 species